AAUUUGAAAGCUGGCCUUAUGGUCCGCAUUGUAAUUUGUAGAGGAUGCUUUUAGGCAGCCGCCGGUCUAAGUUCCUUGGAACAGGACGUCAUAGAGGGUGAGAAUCCCGUAUGUGACCGGCUCUGGCACCUUAUGUAAAGCUCCUUCGACGAGUCGAGUUGUUUGGGAAUGCAGCUCUAAAUGGGAGGUAAAUUUCUUCUAAAGCUAAAUACUGGCGAGAGACCGAUAGCGCACAAGUAGAGUGAUCGAAAGAUGAAAAGCACUUUGGAAAGAGAGUUAAAAAGCACGUGAAAUUGUUGAAAGGGAAGCGCUUGCAAUCAGACUUGGACUUGGCUGUUCAACCGGUCUUCUGACCGGCCCACUCAGUCUUGUCCAGGCCAGCAUCAGUUUCGGCGGCCGGAUAAAGGCCCUGGGAAUGUGGCUGUUCCUUCGGGGACAGUGUUAUAGCCCAGGGUGUAAUACGGCCAGCUGGGACUGAGGUCCGCGCUUCGGCUAGGAUGCUGGCGUAAUGGUUGUAAGCGGCCCGUCUUGAA
rnacentral:rRNA from 1 species